rnacentral:rRNA from 1 species
CGUGUCGUGAGAUGUUGGGUUAAGUCCCGCAACGAGCGCAACCCUUGUUAUUAGUUGCCAGCAUUAAGUUGGGCGCUCUAAUGAGACUGCCGGUGACAAACCGGAGGAAGGUGGGGAUGACGUCAAGUCAUCAUGCCCCUUAUGACCUGGGCUACACACGUGCUACAAUGGGCAGUACAACGAGAAGCAAGCCUGCGAAGGCAAGCGAAUCUCUGAAAGCUGUUCUCAGUUCGGACUGCAGUCUGCAACUCGACUGCACGAAGCUGGAAUCGCUAGUAAUCGCGGAUCAGCACGCCGCGGUGAAUACGUUCCCGGGCCUUGUACACACCGCCCGUCACACCAUGGGAGUCUGCAAUGCCCAAAGCCGGUGGCCUAACCUUCGGGAAGGAGCCGUCUAAGGCAGGGCAGAUGACUGGGGU